rnacentral:tRNA from 1 species
UGCGGGGUGGAGCAGUGGCAGCUCGUUGGGCUCAUAACCCAAAGGUCCCCAGUUCGAGUCUGGGCCCCGCUACCU